rnacentral:rRNA from 1 species
UACAGAGGGGGCAAGCGUUGUUCGGAAUUACUGGGCGUAAAGGGCGCGUAGGCGGCCUGUUAAGUCGAACGUGAAAUCCCCGGGCUCAACCCGGGAACUGCGUCCGAUACUGGCAGGCUUGAAUCCGGGAGAGGGAUGCGGAAUUCCAGGUGUAGCGGUGAAAUGCGUAGAUAUCUGGAGGAACACCGGUGGCGAAGGCGGCUCACUGGUCCGGUACUGACGCUGAGGUGCGAAAGCGUGGGGAGCAAACAGG